rnacentral:rRNA from 1 species
UGGAUAACUGUGGUAAUUCUAGAGCUAAUACAUGCGACAAAGCUCUGACCCUCGUUGGAGAGAGCGCUCUUAUUAGAUCAAGACCACCCGGUAUCGCCUUCGGGUGUGCCGUCGGAUUGAUGACUCUGGAUAACCUUUGCCGAUCGUAUGGCCCCGAGCCGACGACGCAUCUUUCAAAUGUCUGCCCUAUCAACUUUCGUUGGUAGGUGAUUUGCCUACCAAGGUGUUUACGGGUAACGGGGGAUCAGGGUUCGAUCCCGGAGAGGGAGCAUGAGAAACGGCUACCACAUCCAAGGAAGGCAGCAGGCGCGCAAAUUACCCACUCUUAGCACGAGGAGGUAGUGACGAAAAAUAACAAUACGGGACUCUUUCGAGGCCCCGUAAUUGGAAUGAGUACACUCUAAACCCGUUAACGAGGAUCUAUUGGAGGGCAAGUCUGGUGCCAGCAGCCGCGGUAAUUCCAGCUCCAAUAGCGUAUAUUAAAGCUGUUGCAGUUAAAAAGCUCGUAGUCGGAUUUCGGGCGGCGGCCAAUGGUUCGGUUCCGUGCCGAUACUGCUGGUCGCGGCCUCCACGCCGGUCGUCCUUCGGUGCUCUUAACUGAGUGCCUUAGGUAGCCGGAGCGUUUACUUUGAAAAAAUUAGAGUGUUCAAGGCAGGCCUCGAGCCUGAAUGAUGGUGCAUGGAAUAAUGGAAUAGGACCUCGGUUCUAUUUUGUUGGUCUUCGGAACUGGAGGUAAUGAUUAAUAGGGACGGACGGGGGCAUUCGUAUUGCGGCGUUAGAGGUGAAAUUCUUGGAUCGUCGCAAGACGGACUACUGCGAAAGCAUUUGCCAAGAAUGUUUUCAUUGAUCAAGAGCGAAAGUCAGAGGAUCGAAGACGAUCAGAUACCGUCCUAGUUCUGACCAUAAACGAUGCCAACUAGCGAUCCGGCUCCGUUGCUUUAUAAGACUGGCCGGGCAGCUCCCGGGAAACCAAAGUCUAUGGGUUCCGGGGGAAGUAUGGUUGCAAAGCUGAAACUUAAAGGAAUUGACGGAAGGGCACCACCAGGAGUGGAGCCUGCGGCUUAAUUUGACUCAACACGGGAAAACUCACCCGGCCCGGACACCGUAAGGAUUGACAGAUUGAAAGCUCUUUCUUGAUUCGGUGGGUGGUGGUGCAUGGCC